rnacentral:rRNA from 1 species
CGCUGGCGGCACGCUUAACACAUGCAAGUCGAACGAAGUAGCAAUACUUAGUGGCAGACGGGUGAGUAACAUGUGGGUAUCUACCCUUUGGCCUGGAAUAACACGAGGAAACUUGUGCUAAUACCGGAUAAGUCUUUACGGAGAAAGCUUUAUGCACCAUUGGAUGAGCCUGCACUUGAUUAGUUUGUUGGUGGGGUAAUGGCCUACCAAGACUGUGAUCAAUAGCUGAUUUGAGAGGAUGAUCAGCCACAUUGGGACUGAGACACGGCCCAAACUCCUACGGGAGGCAGCAGUGGGGAAUCUUGCACAAUGGAGGAAACUCUGAUGCAGCGAUGCCGCGUGAGUGAAGAAGGCCUUUGGGUUGUAAAGCUCUUUCGUCGGGGAAGAAAAUGACUGUACCCGAAUAAGAAGGUCCGGCUAACUUCGUGCCAGCAGCCGCGGUAAUACGAAGGGACCUAGCGUAGUUCGGAAUUACUGGGCUUAAAGAGUUCGUAGGUGGUUGAAAAAGUUGGUGGUGAAAUCCCAGAGCUUAACUCUGGAACUGCCAUCAAAACUUUUCAGCUAGAGUAUGAUAGAGGAAAGCAGAAUUUCUAGUGUAGAGGUGAAAUUCGUAGAUAUUAGAAAGAAUACCAAUUGCGAAGGCAGCUUUCUGGAUCAUUACUGACACUGAGGAACGAAAGCAUGGGUAGCGAAGAGGAUUAGAUACCCUCGUAGUCCAUGCCGUAAACGAUGUGUGUUAGACGUUGGAAAUUUAUUUUCAGUGUCGCAGCGAAAGCGAUAAACACACCGCCUGGGGAGUACGACC